rnacentral:rRNA from 1 species
GUCGAACGGUAGCAGGAAGUGCUUGCACUUCGCUGACGAGUGGCGGACGGGUGAGUAAUGCUUGGGAACUUGCCUUUAGGUGGGGGAUAACAGUUGGAAACGACUGCUAAUACCGCAUAAUGUCUACGGACCAAAGGGGGCUUCGGCUCCCGCCUUGAGAGAGGCCCAAGUGAGAUUAGCUAGUUGGUGGGGUAAAGGCCUACCAAGGCAACGAUCUCUAGCUGUUCUGAGAGGAAGAUCAGCCACACUGGGACUGAGACACGGCCCAGACUCCUACGGGAGGCAGCAGUGGGGAAUAUUGCACAAUGGGGGAAACCCUGAUGCAGCCAUGCCGCGUGUGUGAAGAAGGCCUUCGGGUUGUAAAGCACUUUCAGUUGUGAGGAAAGGUUGGUAGUUAAUACCUGCCAGCUGUGACGUUAACAACAGAAGAAGCACCGGCUAACUCCGUGCCAGCAGCCGCGGUAAUACGGAGGGUGCGAGCGUUAAUCGGAAUUACUGGGCGUAAAGCGCACGCAGGCGGCUUGUUAAGCUAGAGGUGAAAGCCCCGCGCUCAACGUGGGAACUGCCUUUAGAACUGGCAGGCUAGAGUCUUGGAGAGGGGAGUGGAAUUCCAGGUGUAGCGGUGAAAUGCGUAGAUAUCUGGAGGAACAUCAGUGGCGAAGGCGGCUCCCUGGCC